GAUGAACGCUAGCGGAAGGCUUAAUACAUGCAAGUCGAGCGGUAGGCGGCUUCGGCCAUUGAGAGCGGCGCACGGGUGAGUAACGCGUACAUGACCUGCCUGUCAGAAGGGGAUAGCCCUGGGAAACUGGGAUUAAUACCCUAUGGUAUUGAUAUUAUGAAUGAUAUCAAUUAAAGUUGAGGCGCUGACAGAUGGAUGUGCGUCUGAUUAGCUAGUUGGUAGGGUAACGGCCUACCAAGGCGACGAUCAGUAGGGGGCGUGAGAGCGUGGUCCCCCACACGGGUACUGAGACACGGACCCGACUCCUACGGGAGGCAGCAGUAAGGAAUAUUGGUCAAUGCCCGCAAGGGUGAACCAGCCAUUCCGCGUGGAGGAUGAAGGCCCUAUGGGUUGUAAACUUCUUUUAGAUGGGAAGAAAAUGCUAGAUGUAUCUGGUACUGACGGUACCAUCAGAAUAAGCACCGGCUAACUCCGUGCCAGCAGCCGCAGUAAAAC
rnacentral:rRNA from 1 species